UGCAGUCGAGCGGAACGAGUUAUCUGAACCUUCGGGGAACGAUAACGGCGUCGAGCGGCGGACGGGUGAGUAAUGCCUAGGAAAUUGCCCUGAUGUGGGGGAUAACCAUUGGAAACGAUGGCUAAUACCGCAUGAUGCCUACGGGCCAAAGAGGGGGACCUUCGGGCCUCUCGCGUCAGGAUAUGCCUAGGUGGGAUUAGCUAGUUGGUGAGGUAAGGGCUCACCAAGGCAACGAUCCCUAGCUGGUCUGAGAGGAUGAUCAGCCACACUGGAACUGAGACACGGUCCAGACUCCUACGGGAGGCAGCAGUGGGGAAUAUUGCACAAUGGGCGCAAGCCUGAUGCAGCCAUGCCGCGUGUAUGAAGAAGGCCUUCGGGUUGUAAAGUACUUUCAGUCGUGAGGAAGGCGGCGUCGUUAAUAGCUGCGUUGUUUGACGUUAGCGACAGAAGAAGCACCGGCUAACUCCGUGCCAGCAGCCGCGGUAAUACGGAGGGUGCGAGCGUUAAUCGGAAUUACUGGGCGUAAAGCGCAUGCAGGUGGUUUGUUAAGUCAGAUGUGAAAGCCCGGGGCUCAACCUCGGAAUAGCAUUUGAAACUGGCAGACUAGAGUACUGUAGAGGGGGGUAGAAUUUCAGGUGUAGCGGUGAAAUGCGUAGAGAUCUGAAGGAAUACCGGUGGCGAAGGCGGCCCCCUGGACAGAUACUGACACUCAGAUGCGAAAGCGUGGGGAGCAAACAGGAUUAGAUACCCUGGUAGUCCACGCCGUAAACGAUGUCUACUUGGAGGUUGUGGCCUUGAGCCGUGGCUUUCGGAGCUAACGCGUUAAGUAGACCGCCUGGGGAGUACGGUCGCAAGAUUAAAACUCAAAUGAAUUGACGGGGGCCCGCACAAGCGGUGGAGCAUGUGGUUUAAUUCGAUGCAACGCGAAGAACCUUACCUACUCUUGACAUCCAGAGAACUUUCCAGAGAUGGAUUGGUGCCUUCGGGAACUCUGAGACAGGUGCUGCAUGGCUGUCGUCAGCUCGUGUUGUGAAAUGUUGGGUUAAGUCCCGCAACGAGCGCAACCCUUAUCCUUGUUUGCCAGCGAGUAAUGUCGGGA
rnacentral:rRNA from 1 species